CGCCUUGACACGCGGCUUCGGAGCCUGGGCGCAUGCGCGGAGUAGUGGCUCGCAGAGGGAGGCGGUGCUGCGCGCGCAAUGGAGUGUUGGUAGCGGUUCGUCCCUGAGGCGGAGUUCAUCUCCUGCCAUCUGUCAGCUACCUUUCUGUGUGAAGCAGUUGUAUUAUGUUUGAUUUUAUAUUGAUAUUUGAGAGGCUGCUGCUGCUUCACUGUAAUUUCAUAAUGGGUUGUAGUUUUCAUACAGUUUAUUAUUUGCCAUGCAAAAGAACCAAAGUUUUGUUGCUGUUAGUUAUGGAAAUGCUACUUUGAAUACUGUGGUGAGAUAAAGUGGAGCUCUAAAUCAAUGAGAAGAGCAAAUACGAAAGUUGUUGGAAAAGUAACAAGCCUGAUUUCAGCAGCUUAGAAGCUGUUCAGUGGCAACUCUGGUGAUCAUAAUCUAUGCUGCUUUGCUAAGGAUUCCCAGACAUGCAAGCUUACUGCAGACAUGAACCAGAGGUAUGGGUUCUACAGGCUUUUUCACGCCUUAUCUGUACUCAAGGUGAAUGAGAAAGAAGGCAACGAGAUCAGCGUUGGUUGCAUGCUAUCUUCAUGUAGAACUCUUUUCAAUAUCAUUCACUACAAUAAAAUCAUGUAUGUGGUUAGAUACUUGGCUAAUUUCUAAGAUUACAAACAUAUAUAUGGUAAACAUAUACGUAAUAUCUAAUGGAAAACUAACAAAACAUUAUAUUUAUCCCUUAAUUUGUGAUAAAGCUGGGUUCCAUACUGGAAUUACUUGUCUUUCUUUCUGUUUUCCACUUUACUUGAUCAUAGCUUCCUAGAGUAACUGAAGUUAAGUCAAACGUGCUGCCUGUGCUGGUCAUUUACACUGGCUAAUCUGCUGUUAAUACCACAAUGCUGGUAACUAUUUCUGACAGCUAUUAUAAACAAUUUAUUAUAAUAGGCUGAUAUAUGUAGACAUCCUGAAAGAAUUAAUGUUAAAUAAUAAAUAUACUGUAGGUCUACUAAAGGAAUAAAAAAGAGAUACUAGAACUGGCAGUCCCAACAAACCUUCCCAAAGAAGUCUUUCUAAAAUUUCUUCCAAAGAAAGCGUAAGCUCCCGUCUUCCCUAGGCUUUUACUAUAAAACUGUGGUUCUC